rnacentral:tRNA from 1 species
GCCUGGGUGGCUCAGUCGGUUGAGCGUCUGACUUCGGCUCAGAUCACGAUCUCGUGCUCUGUGAGUUCGAGCCCCGCGUCGGGCU